rnacentral:rRNA from 1 species
AACGAAAUUGGCGGGAAUUAUUACGAAUGGUGGAAUAUGUGGUUUAAUGCGAUAAUCCACGUAGAAUCUUACCAACGUGUAAUAAUUCCAAGUUAAUUUUAAUAAAGUUUUUUAAUAUUAAAGUGAAAUUUUAAAGAGUACUGCAUGGCUGUCGUCAGUUCGUGCUUUUGAUGUGUAUAAUUAAGUUUAUAUAACGAACGCAAUCUUACUAAUUUAUUCAAUUAUAUGUAAUUUAUAUAAAAGUAAACUGAAGUCAAGUCCUCACGAUCUUAGUAUGUUGGGCUACACACGUAUUACAAUGAUAAAAACAAAGAAAUUCAAAAAAGUAAUUUAGAGAAAUUUUUAAAAAUUAUCCAAGUGCAGAGUCAUUUCUGAAAAGCAAUGAUGAAGGUGAAAUCAUUAGUAACCAUAAAUUAUUAUGUUAUGGCGAAUUACUACAGUAAUUUUGCACACACCGCCCAUCACAUUCGGAGAGUUUUUCUAUUAAGAAGGGC